rnacentral:lncRNA from 12 species
UGGGAUAAAUGUAUUUAAUACUAUUAUUAUUAAAUAUGCAUUAAGCUGAUCUUUAUUUGCCACAGUAUCAGUUUUUUUUUUAAGAUUUUAUUUAUUUAUUCAUGAUAGUUACACAGAGAGAGACAGAGAGGCAGAGACACAGGCAGAGGGAGAAGCAGGCUCCAUGCACCGGGAGCCCGACGUGGGAUUCGAUUCCGGGUCUCCAGGAUCGCGCCCCGGCCAAAGGCAGGCGCCAAACCGCUGCGCCACCCAGGGAUCCCUACAGUAUCAGUUUUAUACAUAUUAGGAGCCUGACAUUCCGUGCGAGGAGACAAGACUAG